rnacentral:pre_miRNA from 1 species
AUGUAAGGCAAUCUUUAACUUUUAGUAGGGAUAUAUUAAUAUAGAGAAAUUGAUCUUAGAUUAUUUUUCCUCUAAGUCAAACAUCUUGU